AUGCAGCACCGCUCGCCGGCGGCCGCCUCAGCCUCCGCCUCCCCCGGGGCGGUGGCGGCGGCGGCGGCGGCCAUGGCGCCCGGCGUGGGCGGGGUCGAGCCGGCCGUGGCGCUCGACCAGGUCCCGCGCUGGAGCGACCCCGACCAGCGCUUCCACUCGCCCUCCUCCCCCACCGCGGCCGGAUCCGAGGCCCCCGCCUCCUCCUUCCUCUCCUUCGCCGACCCGCUCGACGCGGCCGCGGGGGGCGGGGGCCACGGCGCGUGCCGCUUCCCCGUCGACCCCGAGGUCAACUCCAGGAUCUACCUCUGGCGGGGCCACCCCUGGAACCUCGAGGUCGACGCCGUCGUCAACUCCACCAACGAGAGCUUGGACGAGGCGCAUAGUAGCCCUGGGCUGCAUGCGGCGGCGGGGCCGGAGCUCGCUGAGGAGUGUGCCACCUUGGGUGGGUGCCGGACUGGGAUGGCGAAGAUGACCAAUGCGUAUGAUCUGCCUGCUAGGAAAGUCAUCCAUACAGUGGGCCCUAAAUAUGCUGUCAAGUAUCACACAGCUGCAGAGAGUGCACUUAGCCACUGCUACAGGUCUUGCCUGGAACUACUCGUAGAGAAUGGUCUUGAAAGCAUUGCAAUGGGCUGCAUAUACACAGAAGCCAAAAAUUAUCCCCGUGAACCGGCUGCCCAUGUGGCAAUAAGAACUGUGAGACGUUUUCUGGAGAAGCAGAAGGACAAAAUAACUGCUGUUGUCUUUUGUACCAUAUCAUCAACUGAUACAGAGAUAUAUAAGCGACUGCUUCCUCUUUAUUUCCCACGGGACAAACAAGAGGAAGAGAUGGCUUCGUUAAAACUUCCAGCUGAUGUUGGGGAUGAGAAUGGUGAGCCAAUAAUAGAUGAAAGGAAAAUAAGAAUAAAAACAUUGCCUGCUGAGGCAGCAAAUAGCAAGUAUGCAGUUCCCGUGCCCGCAGAUAUUCCUCUUUCUGGUUCUGGAUUGACACGUAGAAGAAAUUCUAAGUUGGAUUCAUAUUUGGAUCCAUCCUUUAUGUCCAUAAUUAAAGAUCCGGAUCUCCGACGCAAGGAGCAAUGGGAAAAGUCUGCGCAGGCAAAGAAGGGAUUUAAUUUUGCUAAGUUGCUUGGUUUUGGUGAUCUUGGCGGUCCUGCAUUAUCGGCUGCAGAAGAAUAUUCACUUCAUCAACGUUACCUUGCUAAAGCAAAUUCCCUUAAUCUUUCAGAAAUCGCUGAAAUGAAAAUAAUUUACCGUGGCGGAGUUGACAGUGAAGGGCGUCCAAUUAUGGUUGUUGUUGGCGCUCACUUUCUUCUUCGCUGUUUGGACCUGGAACGAUUUAUUCUAUAUGUAAUAAAGGAGUUUGAACCUUUGAUUCAAAAGCCUUACUCAAUUGUCUAUUUCCACUCAGCAGCGUCCUUACAAGUACAGCCAGACUUGGGAUUCAUGAAGCGGUUACAACAAAUGCUAGGUCGUAAGCAUCAGCGAAAUCUUCAGGCUAUAUAUGUACUCCACCCAACGCUGGGAUUGAGAACAGCUAUUUUGGCGUUGCAGCUUCUUGUUGAUGGAGAUGUCUGGAAGAAAGUUGUCUAUGUCGACAGACUUAUGCAGCUGUUCAGAUACGUGCCACGGGAACAACUAACAAUUCCAGAUUUUGUCUUCCAGCAUGAUCUAGAAGUGAAUGGUGGAAAGGGCAUAAUCGUUGAUCCUAGAACGAAGCAUGUCUACCAAAGACCGUCAGGUUGA
rnacentral:rRNA from 1 species